AAUUCCUCUAUUUAAACAAAUUUUAUCAUCAUAAAACAAGUUUACAGGAUAAAAACGUGCACUAGGCUUAAAGUUGAAAGAGGUCAAAUGGUUUUUUGUUGUUGACUAAAGGUUCUAAAAUUUUGAAUUGAUCACACUGAAUUCAUUGUAAAGAUUUGUAUGCAGGCUUUGGCUAAACCACAAAAUGAAGUACCAACAAAAUUACAAUUGUUCACCAAAUAAGACGCUGAAAAUGGCUCCGUUGAUGUAGGUCAGGAUAUGAAGCUUGAAGGAAUAUAUGUCUAUUUCAUUUAUAUUAACCAACAG
rnacentral:lncRNA from 1 species